CUCGCACGCCAGCUGAUUGCAUGUUUACACAGUGCUUCUAGUCGUAGAUGCAUUUAAAAGGACGUAAACGACUAGACGAUAUGAAAAGCGGAGGCGUUUCUGCUCUUUUACGCCGCGUGCGAAAUGUGAAGAAAUAGCACCUUGUGCAGUAGAUUUGAAGAAACAACGUACUUUGCUUAGCUUAUCCUGUAGAAUACAUGUCCGGUAUUCGCAGAAGAUGCGCUAUUCCGAAAACAUGUACGGGGUCUUUCGACGCAGGAGUUCGUCUGCGAAAGAUGAGCUUCCUGAUACAUGGUCCGAACCUCUGCCAGAGCCUAACAACUUGGAGACAGAAGAUCAAUACUCCGCUUAAUGUACUACCUGUACUAUAAACUAUAAUUGGAGA